rnacentral:rRNA from 1 species
GACGAACGCUGGCGGCGUGCUUAACACAUGCAAGUCGAACGCUGAAGCUCAGCUUUUGUUUGGUGGAUGAGUGGCGAACGGGUGAGUAACACGUGAGUAACCUGCCCCCUUCUUUGGGAUAACGCCCGGAAACGGGUGCUAAUACUGGAUAUUCACUGGUCUUCGCAUGGGGGUGGGUGGUAAGGGCUUUUCUGGUGGGGGAUGGGCUCGCGGCCUAUCGGCUUGUUGGUGGGGUGAUGGCCUACCAAGGCUUUGACGGGUAGCGGGCCUGAGGGGGUGACCGGUAACAUUGGGACGGAGAUACGGCCCAGGCUAGUACGGGGGGGAGCAGUGGGGAAUAUUGCAGAAUGGGCGAAAGCCUGAUGCAGCGUCGCUGCGGGAGGGCUGGAGGCCUUCGGGUUGUGAACCUCUUUCGGAAAUGGUCAAGCCGCAACAAUGGUUGUAGUGAGGGUAGUGGGUAAAGAAGCGCCGGCUAACUACGUG